CUGGUUGAUCCUGCCAGU
rnacentral:ncRNA from 3 species